rnacentral:rRNA from 1 species
CAUUAAAGCGGUACGCGAGCUGGGUUCAGAACGUCGUGAGACAGUUCGGUCCCUAUCCGUCGCGGGCGCAGGAAAUUUGAGAGGAGCUGUCCUUAGUACGAGAGGACCGGGAUGGACGCACCGCUGGUGUACCAGUUGUUCUGCCAAGGGCAUCGCUGGGUAGCUAUGUGCGGACGGGAUAAGUGCUGAAAGCAUCUAAGCAUGAAGCCCCCCUCAAGAUGAGAUUUCCCAUUCCGCAAGGAAGUAAGAUCCCUGAAAGAUGAUCAGGUUGAUAGGUCUGAGGUGGAAGCGUGGUGACACGUGGAGCUGACAGAUACUAAUAGAUCGAGGACUUAACCUAU